GCAUAAUGUGGAGAGAGAGUCCUGUCCUGUCAGCAAAGGGGAAACGCUGUCCUUCCUUGGUCUUAUAUUGACGGUUAUCAGUGACAUAGUUACUACUACGAUCAUUUCAUAAAGGCCAUUGCCACGCUCUUGGACGAUCUUGGGAAAAGCACCUUGAUCCUUGGGAAUGCAUCGGAAAUAUGCCACAGCAUGAUUAUCAGCACAGGACACAGAAGAUUUUGAGUCUAAAGCAACGAGAUGGACUCCAGAAAGCACAGGUGAAAACUGGGGUGAAACUGUGCCCUAUCGUGACUCUCGUGCAGGAUCAGCUUUCCAUCACAUUGCUGAAUCGAUUGCCACAUCCAUUCUGCCGUUCAUUCAUCUGGGGUGCGCUGGGAAGAGAGGAGAGACGAUAAAUGGGAUCAGAAGUAUGGUUCAGAGCAUGAACGCUUUUGUACCAAUGGCAAACCAGGGACUUUGCACGUUACCCUCUGAUAAUGAGGUAUCUUUCACAAAACAUGUAUUAUUCGAGAAGUCUAGGGCAUGGGCCCUCAGAAAUGGGAUGCCGGUGGAAUUGAAGACGGCACAGAACACGUCUUGGAAAAUGGUGACUCAGAACGUUUCCUAGGCUCCCCUCUCAAGAACGGCUCUCUUUUUUGGACUCCUGCUGCAAUAUCCCCAUGGUUCUUGUUCUUGUAUCGUUUUUGGUGCCACACUGCUUGGAUCAAACUGGAUUUUGCUGCUUCUCUUGGCAAAAAAGGCCUGCUCUCUCUAAAGGGGUUAUUUCCUAACCCCAAACCCAUCCAGAGCCCAUACCCUUCACCCUCCCUACGACCUCAUGUUGCUGAGGUCCCAAUCACAACAAAAACAAAUCCAUGUAAGUUACAACAGAUAGAUGUCGAGACAAAAGAGAAAAUAAUGGAAAGAUGGUAGAGACGUAGGAAAAAAUAUAUUGAAAAAAAGAGAACAGGUGAUUAAGUUUUCUUGUUUGAAAGCUCAACAACCAUUUUCUUAGUGACAUAUGAUAAUGUACAGAAUCUAUUUACAAACUUUCCUAUUGUUGAACCAUUCCAAAAAGCGAUGAUGAACCAUUCCGAAAACCAUGUUUUUGUGCACAGAAUUGCAAAUUCAAAGUGAGAAAAAUUCUCAGUCUUUUGCGACAGGGAUGUCACUCAAUGAAACGUGUUUGAUCACUCAGUUGUGUGGAGUGCUGACUUCUGGUGGAGACAAGAAUUGCCUCACUUAUUUAUUCAGCAAAUAUUUAUUAGCACCUACUAAAGGUUUUUUCUAUUUGCUUAGACAAACAGAUUAAAAAUACCGUGUGUUGGAAGGUGAUGAUGCUAUGAAAAAAUAGAGUAGAAAGGCUGAGUAAAGGGGAUUAGAUGGUGGGGGAGGGGGACAAAUUGGGCCGUUGAUAGACUGGUGAGACCAGAGAAGGUGAAAUGUGAGCACAGAUUUGAAAGAGUGGAAGAGGUGAAUUUUUACAGCUGCGCUUUCUCCCUCAUCUCUUCCAACCUCUCUUCUUCCUCCUAUGUUUUUUUUGCCUAUACUUCCUUGAUUUUUCUUAGUCUAUAUUAAUAGUCUAAUUGAUUUUAAGACAUGGAUAUUCAAACUACAGUCAUGAGUGGCAUAACAAUAUUUCGGUCAACAAUGGACUGCAUAUAUGGCGGAGGUCCCAUAAGAUGAGGAGCGUAUGGCCUAGCUGUGCAGUAGGCUGUACCAUCUAGGUUUGUCUAAGCGCAUUCUGAGAUGUUUGCACAACAAUGAAAUCACCUGACAAUGCAUUUCUCAGAACACGUCCCCGUCGGUAAGUGAUGCAUGACUGCAUUCAGAAAAACGUGAAUGAGAAAGUCAAAGUGAUCUGAAAUCUUACCAGGCACUACAAUUUUGGUGAAAAUUCCACUAUAUAUGUCUAUGUAUAUGAACUGAUAUAUUUGCAAUUUUUAAAAAAUGGGUUCAUGUUACAUACACUACUUUACUACUCUAUAACCUACCUUUCUAUGAAAUAGUAUUUUUUAAGUCGUUUUCAUGGCCUUUUAAAAAACUACAUUCUUAUAGGUACUCCAUCACAUGUUUUAAAAAAUGAAAUAUUAUAAAAAUAUAUACAUUAAAAAAUCUCACUCCUAUUCCUCAAAAAAUUAACAAUAGAACUAUCAUAUGACCCAGCUAUCCCACUACUGGGUAUCUACCCAAAGAGCUUGAAGUCAGCAAUUCCAAAAGUCCUAUGCACCCCAAUGUUUAUUGCAGUAUUAUUUACAAUAGCCAAGACAUGGAAGCAACCUAAGUGCCCAGCAACAGAUGAUUGGAUAAAGAAGAUGUGGUAUAUAUACACAAUGGAAUCCUACUCAGCCGUAAAACAGAAUAAAAUCGUCCCAUUUGCAACAACAUGGAUGGACCUUGAGGGAAUUAUGUUAAGCGAAAUAAGCCAGAUAGAGAAGGACAAUCUCUGUAUGACUCCACUCAUAUGAGGAAUUUAAAAAUGUAGACAAAGAGAACAGAUUAGUGGCUACCAGGGGAAAGGUGGGGUGGGGGGUGGGCACAAAGGGUGAAGUGGUGCACCUACAACACGAAUGACAACCAUUAAUGUACAACUGAAAUUUCACAAGAUUGUAACCUAUCAUUAACUCAAUUAAAAAAAAAAUCUCACUCCUAUUUUUGUGCCUAUCCACACUUUUUAUCUCCAUAAUAGAAGUGAGGGGUUCCUCCUGUACCUUCCAGUAUCACUUUGUGUACAUACAGCACAUAUAGAUUUGCAUUCUUAUUUCCCCUCCUUCUUGCACAAUAAGUUCAUACUACACACUGUUGCUACACUUUGCUUUUUCACUUAACACCAGGGCGAUCUUUCCCACGUUAGUGCAUUGGGGUCCUAUUCAAUUUCGGGCAUUGGUUGUGUGGUGAUACCAUAGUUUAUUUAAAUGCUUCAUUAUUGAUGGAUAUUUGGCUCAGUCAGUCUUAAACAAAAGGUGACAUGAACUUGAAAUAGAAUGUGUCUGAAACAAAAUUUAACAGAUGAUACUAAAUUUUUUCCUUGAAAUUAUAAUUGAAGUCAAUGGGAAAAAGUGUUCCACAAAAUUUCUGAUGAAGUUAUCUACUGCUGCCUUAAAUAUUGAGAGUCCCUGGGCAAGUGUUUAUGAAUGAGAAGAUUUGUUCUUUUCAUGUUUAUUAUCCAUGUUAUGAGCAGC
rnacentral:lncRNA from 1 species